CCUACGGGAGGCAGCAGUGGGGAAUAUUGCACAAUGGGGGAAACCCUGAUGCAGCGACGCCGCGUGAGUGAAGAAGUAUUUCGGUACGUAAAGCUCUAUCAGCAGGGAAGAAAAUGACGGUACCUGACUAAGAAGCCCCGGCUAACUACGUGCCAGCAGCCGCGGUAAUACGUAGGGGGCAAGCGUUAUACGGAUUUACUGGGUGUAAAGGGAGCGUAGACGGCAGCGCAAGUCUGGAGUGAAAUCCCAUGGCUUAACCAUGGAACUGCUUUGGAAACUGUGCAGCUAGAGUGCAGGAGAGGUAAGCGGAAUUCCUAGUGUAGCGGUGAAAUGCGUAGAUAUUAGGAGGAACACCAGUGGCGAAGGCGGCUUACUGGACUGUAACUGACGUUGAGGCUCGAAAGCGUGGGGAGCAAACAGGAUUAGAUACCCCAGUAGUC
rnacentral:rRNA from 1 species